rnacentral:rRNA from 1 species
UACGUAGGGUGCAAGCGUUAAUCGGAAUUACUGGGCGUAAAGCGUGCGCAGGCGGUGAUGUAAGACAGGUGUGAAAUCCCCGGGCUUAACCUGGGAACUGCAUUUGUGACUGCAUCGCUGGAGUGCGGCAGAGGGGGAUGGAAUUCCGCGUGUAGCAGUGAAAUGCGUAGAUAUGCGGAGGAACACCGAUGGCGAAGGCAAUCCCCUGGGCUGACACUGACGCUCAGGCACGAAAGCGUGGGGAGCAAACAGG